GAUGAACGCUGGCGGCGUGCCUAAUACAUGCAAGUCGAGCGAACAGACGAGGAGCUUGCUCCUCUGACGUUAGCGGCGGACGGGUGAGUAACACGUGGAUAACCUACCUAUAAGACUGGGAUAACUUCGGGAAACCGGAGCUAAUACCGGAUAAUAUAUUGAACCGCAUGGUUCAAUAGUGAAAGACGGCUUUGCUGUCACUUAUAGAUGGAUCCGCGCCGGAUUAGCUAGUUGGUAAGGUAACGGCUUACCAAGGCAACGAUGCGUAGCCGACCUGAGAGGGUGAUCGGCCACACUGGAACUGAGACACGGUCCAGACUCCUACGGGAGGCAGCAGUAGGGAAUCUUCCGCAAUGGGCGAAAGCUUGACGGAGCAACGCCGCGUGAGUGAUGAAGGUCUUCGGAUCGUAAAACUCUGUUGUUGGGGAAGAACAAAUGUGUAAGUAACUAUGCACGUCUUGACGGUACCUAAUCAGAAAGCCACGGCUAACUACGUG
rnacentral:rRNA from 1 species